rnacentral:tmRNA from 1 species
ACCGGCUGAACUCUGCACCGGUGGGCCUCAACGCCGGGCUUAGCAAUAAGCAGCAGAGUCAUUAACGAGGAUCGCGUUGCAUUGGGUCACUUAAUGCAGCGUUAAAACCAAGGUGGCUCGCCUGGUCACAGCCCGCCGGUUGGCGUUGGCCAGGUAAAAUUAAAUAACCUGGCUAAGUAUGUAGAACUGUCUGUAGAGCACUUUUGGACGCGGGUUCGAAACCCGCCGCCUCCACCA